rnacentral:sRNA from 1 species
CUACAACACAAAAAAAAAAAAACAAAAAAAACUCCAAUUUGGAUUGCCGGCGUUGCAACUUGACUCUGAGCAGCGAGCGAAAAGUGAAGUGAGGGAGAAAAAUGGGAAGGGGAGUAAUUUGGGCGACGGCGGAGGACUUGGCAAGAAACAGAGGACGCGUCCUCUCUCUGUAUCGCCAGAUACUCAGAAGCCUCAACUCGCCUAGCUUGCCGCUGAAUCUGGCCGCAAGGCUGGCCAAGAAAGCGGAGGCGCGCGCAAUCUUCAUGUUGGCGGCGGAGGAGAGGUCCCUUCACAACAUUGACGACCUCGUUGAUGCCGCUCAUUACUCUCUCUCCCUCUUGAGGAAGGGGGAAUUACCCAAAUACAUUCAAUGAGCCUUUUCUGUAAGAUUUCAGUUUCUCCUUUGGGUGCUCUUUCAAGGAGAUAGGAAGUAGAGCAAUUUGUCUAUUCUCGGUUGCUCUCCUGUUAGCUGAGAUUGACAAACUAAACUGUCAAACGUUUGCGACAAUGUGAAGCUGGUAGGCCUACGCAAAAUCAAAAGAUUUAUGUGCAUUUGAUUUAAGAUUAUCAUCUAUUAUAUAUACUUCAAAUAUAUGUAUACCAUGAACAAUUCGUUCUGCAUAUGGUAGUUCAAUAAUAUUUUGCUUCCUUUAACACUCAUAUGAUUCUUAAUUUGUGCUGCAUUUUGGUAAAAUGUGUUGAAUAGCUUCUCCAUCAAUAAGAUUGGUUUAUUCGUUGGAUUAGUAUGUUACAUCAAAUGAAACAAACUUCCCAACUUUUGCCUUUUUAAGGUAACAAGAAAAACUUGAAUGGCAAUAUAGUUAAGCGCCAUGGCAACAAAUCAGUUUUAUUAUUUUCGUAGUUGCUCCAGCUCCUCCACCAAAAUCUUCAUUGGUCUUGUUUAUGGCUU